AUGCUGUACUUGAGCAAGAUGCAUUUUCUGAGGUUAUAUUCGAGCAGUACAGCCGUGAGGAAUGGCUCCGUGGAACACCCUGCCCGCGGGUCUCCCCUCGGAGCAAGCAAGACGGGCCGGCCGACGAGGCUGGCCGGCCUGGACUCCGGCGUCGACGCGGCGGCCACCAAGUCGCCCACCGGCCGGAGCCCCAAGGUGGAGCGCCGCACCACCAUGAGCGCCGAAAGAGAGAAAAGGAGGUCGCCCAUGAAGCUGUCGGAGCUCGAGUCCCAGCUCUCGCAGCUGCAGGACGAGCUCAAGAAGGCCAAGGAGCAGCUCCAUUCCUCGGAGAACUCCAGGAAGCGGGCCCUGCAGGAGGCCGAGGAGGCCAGGGCGCAGGCGGCGGAGGCGUCCGCGCAGGCCAGCGACUCGCGGGGGCAGCUCGCCGAGCUCUCCUCGGUGGAGCAGACCCGCAUCUUCGAGCUCCGCCGGCUCUCCCAGGAGCGCGAUCGCUCGUGGCAGUCGGAGCUGGAGGCCAUGCAGAAGCAGCACGAGGCGGACUCGGCCGCGCUCGUCGCCGCCAUGGGCGAGGUGCACCGCCUCCGCGUGCAGCUCGCCGCGGCCGCCCGCGCCGACCGCAAGCAGGAGGUGGCGGAGGCGCUGGCGACCGUUGACGAGCUUAAGGCCAAGCUCUCCGCGAGCGAGGAGGCCGAGGCGCGGGCGCGAGCGUUGCACGAGGAGUGCAAGCAGCAGCUGGAGGCGAGCCGGGCCACCAUCGACUCGCUGCUCACCGACGGCUCCAAGCUGAUGGACUCCUUCAGCCUCGUCGUCACGGAGCUCGAGGAGUCGCGCGCGAAGCUCAAGGCCCUCGAGGAGGAGGUGGCGGAGACGACGUCGGUGAAGGCCGCCGCCGCCGCCGGCCAGAGCUGCAACUGCUCGGACUCGGAGGCCGCCGAGCUGAGGUCGGCGCUGGAGGACGUGGAGGCCAGGUUCCAGGAAGAGAAGAUCCUGAGCACCGUCGAGACGCAAUGCGCGUACGAGCUCAUGGACCAGAUCAAGGUCGAGUCCGACCUGCGGCAUGGCAAGCUCGCCGCCGCGCUCGCGAGCGCCAAGUCCGAGGUCAUGUUCCUCAAGGCGAGCCUGUUCGACAGGGAGUCCGAGCUGCGGCGCGCCCAUGACGCGACCAAGAAGCUGCAGGACGACGCGAGAACGAACAGCACGGCGGACGAGCUGAAGGCGCAGCUGCAAGGCGCGCUGCAGGAGAACGGGCAGCUGAAGCUCGAGCUGCGGCAGUACGAGUCCGAGAAGGUCCCCGAGAAGUCGGACGCCGACGCGGCGGCGGAGGCGGCGAAGAAGGGGGAGACGGAGGCCGAGCUGAGGCGGCUGAGGGUGCAGGCCGAGCAGUGGCGGAAGGCCGCCGAGACCGCCAUGGCGUUGCUCACCGUGGGCAAGGGCGGCAACGGGAAGAUCUUGGACCGCGGCGAGUCGCUGGACGGCGGCAAGUACGCGGGCCUGUACGACGAGCUCGACGACGACGCGGCGGCGGCCAGGAAGAACGGCAACGUGCUCCGGAGGAUCAGUGGAAUGUGGAAGAAAUGA
rnacentral:rRNA from 1 species